rnacentral:rRNA from 1 species
CAGCCGCCGCGGUAACACGAAGGGUGCAAGCGUUAAUCGGAAUUACUGGGCGUAAAGCGUGCGUAGGUGGUGGUUUAAGUCCGUUGUGAAAGCCCUGGGCUCAACCUGGGAAUUGCAGUGGAUACUGGGUCACUAGAGUGUGGUAGAGGAUAGUGGAAUUUCCGGUGUAGCAGUGAAAUGCGUAGAGAUCGGAAGGAACAUCUGUGGCGAAGGCGACUAUCUGGGCCAACACUGACACUGAGGCACGAAAGCGUGGGGAGCAAACAGGAUUAGAUACCCGAGUAGUCCCUGUCUCUUAUAC